UCGGGCAGGCAGGGCCAGGACACAGACAGUGCUCCCGAAGCCUCAGUGUCCCCACUGGGCAUCCAGGAGCCAUGUGAAGAUCAACUGUGCAGUGCCUGUGUGGGCGGCACUCGCAGUGCAGCAGGAGCAGUGACAGGAUGCACAUGGUACCCCCAAGGACAACGUGGCUUGAAGCAGCAGACCCAAAGCAUGCCCUCGGCCUCUGACCCCAGCCAAAGAUGGCCUGGGGGCAAGAAGCCUGGGGAACACCAGCAGAGCUGCAGCACAGAGGAUGGAGCAGGGACCAGCUGCAAGGCAGGAAGCUCAAAGAUCCUGCCUUUUACGGGAAGUCUUCCUGAAAUACCCAAUCCGAGAGCCUCACAGGACUUGACACCAUCUAAUGACUCAAAACUGCAGACUCUGGCUGAGUGACAGCACCACCUCCCCCAGGAAGCUUUCCCUGCUGCUCCAGGUGGAAUUACUGCUCUGUCCUCUGGGUUCCUAAAAACCCUGUGUUGCCCUCAUCAUGCUGGACUGGAGCCCACAAGCCCAGGCCUAAUGCAUCUUUGGGUCCCCAGCCUCAUCUAAGGGCAAGAGAAGGGCACUUCCAGGCUGAGAGGCCUCCCGGCGGGUGGAAACCCCACAGAUGGCCAAGAGCCUCUGGGAUGGAAUUCCGGCUCCACCAUUUACUGGUGUGUGACACGAAGCAAGUUAUGGGAUUGCAUAGCUGCUCCAUGAGCCUCAGUUUCCUCCUCUGUUUGGAGAUUUUACUGGUAGUCACUUUAAAGAGUCAGAGGGGGACUAGAAGGCACCUAGCACGUAGGCAGAGCUCAACCAGAGCUUGGAUGUGAAAGCAGCCCACUCCUGAGGCCUGGGGGCGGGAGGAGGCCUCAGGAUUUGGGCCAGCUCAGUGGCCUCCUGGGUUUGGAGCUGGAUACAUGGGGUCCCCUGAGGGAUGCAUCUCAGCCUGGCCCUUCCCUCGGGGGCAUCCAGUCUGACCCAAAGACGAGCCAUGGGUAGGUGGAAGGUAGCUCCCAGAGAGGGCAGCUGGGGUGAAGGGCAAUGCAUCCUAACACGGCUGGGUCCUGCCACAGGCCCUCCUCGCACCGCGGCCUCCGAGGAGUGUCUGAGCCGGCCUGUUCCCACCAGUGAGAUCUGAGAUCCGAAUGAAUGAGGGCGAGGCCUGGGUGGGGAGGACAGUUGGAGAAGCAGCACUGCAUGCAGGAGGGCGUGGAGAUGGGGCGUCAGUGAGCUUGAAGGGACAGGGGAGGGGCCGGUGGCAGGUGAGGCGGGGAUGGCACGAUGGACUUCCCAGCAGCCUUGUGGCGCUCAGCGAGGACACGCACAUACUGGGCCCAGGAGCACAGAGCCGCCGGCCACACAGGCUGGGCAGGCCCCAUGGCAGGGACUGAGGCCAUGGGCCCAGUGUGGCCCAGCAGACAAGCACUCAGGACCAGGAGACACCGUGCCCGCAUGCAAAGCCUGCAUGGCUGCUAUUGCAUCCAGUGAGUCACUGCAUCUCCCCAAGCCUCAGUUUCCUCAUCUGGAAAAUGGGACCAUAGCAGCCACUGCCCACAAGGAGCAUAACUCCUGCGGGCACGGACGAGGUGUUCAGUAAACAGUCACUGUUUGCCUCCAGUUGUUAGCUCAGCCUGGCAGCGCACCCAGGUCCGUGCAGCAGAACCUGCCAAUGUGCCUCCGUGCCACCCUGUCUGGGCUGUGGGAUCUUGGGUGGCCCUAUCGGCUCUCCAAGUCUCAGUUGUCUCUUCUGGCAAAUGGAAAUCAGAUCCUGGGUGCCCCAGUGAGGCUCAGAGCAGAGAGCGUGUCCAUGCGUGCCGGGCACACCGGAGUCGUGGCUCUGGACUGGGAGAUGGGGAGGCAUGUGGCUUUGCCCGGUUCGCAGGGCGGGCAGGCCGAGCUCAUGUCCGAGGUCUCCUCUGGGGCACCCUCCCUUCCCAGGAGCAGCCCAAGCAAGCAGCCUAGGCCAGCUGGUUGGUUUUGAUAAGUCAAUAGUAUAAGCAACAAAUCGCACAGAGAUGUCCCGGGUGCCGGAGGAGGCCAUGUCUCCCUCAGGCCUCCUCCUCCUCCCACUCAGGAGGGGACCUGAGUGUUGGGUUUGGCGGCCCAGGGGAGCCUCUGUUGGCAGGUGCCACUGAGAGUUCUGGACCAAGAGGCAUGAAGUUUUGUUCUAUCCACAAGAACAAAAUAGAAUAAUAAAGCAGCAGUAGUAAUAAGAAUAGUAAUAAUAAAAGCACCCACUUAUUGAACAUUUAUGAUGUUAUUGAAUUCUCAAAAGAAUAUAUUUGCAAAACACAUCUCUGAUGAAGGGCUUGUACCCGGAAUAUACACAGAAUUCUUACAUACAAAAAUAAGAAAACAAACCACCCAAUAAAAAAUGUGCAUAAAAGGGCACGUGGGUGGCUCAUUUGGGUUAAAUGUCCGCCUACAGCUUGGGUCAUGAUCUCAGAGUCCUAGGAUCAAGCCCCGUGUCAGGCUCCCUGCUCAGUGAGGACCCUACUUCUCCUUCUCCCUCUGCCCCUCCUCCUGCUUGUUCUCUCUCUCUCUC